AAGAAACACAUCCUGAGUCCUGUGCCACGCUGUGUAGAGAGACCCUUGUGGGAGUUUCGGCUUUCCCUUUUGGCGUUUCAGAACGGAGAAGAGCCAUCUGCUGCUGGAAGAAACACAUCCUGAGUCCUGUGCCACGCUGUGUAGAGAGACCCUUGUGGGAGUUUCGGCUUUCCCUUUUGGCGUUUCAGAACGGAGAAGAGCCAUCUGCUGCUGGAAGAAACACAUCCUGAGUCCUGUGCCACGCUGUGUAGAGAGACCCUUGUGGGAGUUUCGGCUUUCCCUUUUGGCGUUUCAGAACGGAGAAGAGCCAUCUGCUGCUGGAAGAAACACAUCCUGAGUCCUGUGCCACGCUGUGUAGAGAGACCCUUGUGGGAGUUUCGGCUUUCCCUUUUGGCGUUUCAGAACGGAGAAGAGCCAUCUGCUGCUGUUUCUUUCUAGAGACCCAAGGAACAGCUACAAGGCCUUGAAAGACCAAGGAUGAAAGCACCAGACUAUACUACACUUGGCAUUUAUGAAAAGAAGAG